UUUGUUUUGAAAAGUAUUGUUCCUGAAGGAAGAUCGAUCACCGCCAUCAAAAUAUUUGUAAUUCCAACACGAGUUUUUCAAGCAAAUAAUGACAAUGUGGGGAGGGUGGAUCUGAGCACAAGACAUGAUGAUCUACAGAAGGUGCUAUUUGUGAAAGGGUAUCACGCUCUGGAGCUAGCUGCAUAUGGAUUCUGAGGCAGCAACUAUUUUGGGUCAGCAUUUUUGGUAAUGUUUUCAGUUUGCAACUCAUUCAGGAGAUUCGUAGGAUGCUUUAGCUAGGAUGGCAUGUUUCGUGUGGUGCAUAUCUAUUGUGAAGGUAAUGUUUGUGCCGAUUUUUUUAGUCAAUGUGGUUUGUGGGUUGUGAUUUGGAGUGUGAUUUAAUGAUGUUUUAGCAUCCUCCACUCCACUGGCGGAUGCAGGUUUCCCAC
rnacentral:lncRNA from 1 species